rnacentral:rRNA from 1 species
UACGUAGGGUGCAAGCGUUAAUCGGAAUUACUGGGCGUAAAGCGUGCGCAGGCGGUUGUGUAAGACAGAUGUGAAAUCCCCGGGCUCAACCUGGGAACUGCAUUUGUGACUGCACAGCUGGAGUGCGGCAGAGGGGGAUGGAAUUCCGCGUGUAGCAGUGAAAUGCGUAGAUAUGCGGAGGAACACCGACGGCGAAGGCAAUCCCCUGGGCCUGCACUGACGCUCAUGCACGAAAGCGUGGGGAGCAAACAGG